GACGAACGCUGGCGGCGCGCCUAACACAUGCAAGUCGAACGAGCGAGAGAGAGCUUGCUUUCUCGAGCGAGUGGCGAACGGGUGAGUAACGCGUGAGGAACCUGCCUCAAAGAGGGGGACAACAGUUGGAAACGACUGCUAAUACCGCAUAAGCCCACGGCUCGGCAUCGAGCAGGGGGAAAAGGAGCAAUCCGCUUUGAGAUGGCCUCGCGUCCGAUUAGCUAGUUGGUGAGGUAACGGCCCACCAAGGCGACGAUCGGUAGCCGGACUGAGAGGUUGAACGGCCACAUUGGGACUGAGACACGGCCCAGACUCCUACGGGAGGCAGCAGUGGGGAAUAUUGCACAAUGGGGGAAACCCUGAUGCAGCGACGCCGCGUGGAGGAAGAAGGUCUUCGGAUUGUAAACUCCUGUUGUUGGGGAAGAUAAUGACGGUACCCGACAAGGAAGUGACGGCUAACUACGUG
rnacentral:rRNA from 1 species